GCCCAGCUGGCUCAGUUGGAAGAGCAUGAGACUCUUAAUCUCAGGGUUGUGGAGUUCAAGCCCCACGUUGGGUG